GUGAGGGGCAGAGAGGGAGACAUAGAAUCCGAAGCAGGCUCCAGGCUUCGAGCUGCCAGCACUGAACCCGAUGUGGGGCUGGCUCUAAUCUAUGAACUGCGAGAUCAUGACCUGAAUGAAGUCAGGUGCUUAACCAACUGAGCCACCCAAGCGCCACAAUAUUUAUUUUUUUAAAGAGCAUAAAUUUCGACUCCUAGAGUUUAGGGCUGUGACUUAGUUCUGCCACUGCCAGAAUUAAUAAGUAAUUCAUCAACUCUUCCUGAGCCUCUGCUUCCCAGAUAAAAUUGUGAUUGUCACAUAAACCCCCUGCACUGUCACCACCACAUAUGUUGAAUAGUGGAAGAACGCUGUUAGCUGGUAAGGGCCGGCAAGACACCACGUAGAUCUAACAUCUUGCUGUUUUCACAGUGAAGUAAGUGGAACGAACAGGGCUCUCAUUUGAGGGCGAAGGAAACACAGAAGCCAGAACCAGAGAUAACUUCUAGCUCCUCACCUGGAACCACUGUUACACUUCACUUCAUCACCCGGGACACGACAGACCGAAGCCACCUUCCUGAACAUUCGCUUACCCUCGGAGAGACUUCUGAUUAUGACCAUAAAGGUGGUGAAGAAAAAAAAAAAAAUGGACCAAUACCAAACUGGGAAAUCCUUACAGCAACUCCGAUGGCAACAAUGACACCAGGUAAGUGUGCGAUCGACAUUCACUGACUGCUAACAGUGUGUGAGCCACAGGACACAGGAGAGCUGUCCAGGAAAACCUUCCAGGCAGCUCCAUGUCUGAGCCAGGCAUCUGUUAGUGUCUUGCUUUACUAACACUUUAUGGUUUAAGUUAAAGCUCUUUCAUCUUCAAAACAGCUCUACAAAUCAGUGAAGGACAAGGGCUUUGGUUCCUUAACCUAGGAGAAAACUCAGAAAGCCGAAGGGACUCAUCUCAGGCAUCCCUGGGACGGUUGGUCCCCUGGCUGAGGAAGUGAUCAGACACAAAGACACAGCACCACGGAACUGGAAACAAGCUUCCCCAUGAAAUCAGCUAUUCAAAUGGAAUGAGACAAGUAUCGGAAGCUCUAAACUGAGGCUUUGAUGCAUCUGUGCUGCUGGCAACAUCCACAAAUUAGCUCUUAGCCAGCCGAGGGGCUACCCUUUGCCUGUGAUGACGGAAGUUUGCAUCACUCACGUGAGUACCCAUAAGCAACAGGGCAGCUGAUGCUCUGUAUCAGCUGAUGGCCCUGUCUUUUCACCCAAUGAUAGCCCUGGCACCUUCAACAGCGACACACUUGGAAACUCACUGUCUUGGUUAUGAUGAAGCCAAAGAAUCCGUUCUUCGGCAUAAGAAAAUAAACUCAACAUGACAUAAAACAAAGAAACAAUUCGUCAGCAGGUACACUGUUCUCCAUCAGAGACAGCGAAGCUGAGAAGGGGCCGCGGGGCCAGAGGCAGACGGCUGAAGUACCUGGAAACUGCAGAAAACGAACAAGAGACAACUAACCACAUUGGAAACCGAGAUGAGGCUGUGAGGAGGCUUUUGCAAGAGUUGAUGAUGGAGGCCUGAACCAGAGUGCUGGUGGUGAAGAUAAUAAGAAGCGAUCAUGUUUUUGGCAUUGUUUACAAUAGCAAAAUUAUGGAAGUAGCCCAAAUGUCCAUCACUGGAUGAAUGGAUAAAAAAGAUGAAUGGAUGAAGAAGGUAUCCCAUGAUACACAAUGGAAUAUUACUCAGCCAUAAAGAAGAAUGAAAUCUCGCCAUUUACAACAACAUGGAUGGAUCUAGAAAGUGUAAUGUUAAGCAAAAGAAGUCAGAGAAAGACAAAUGCCAUAUGACUUCACUCAAAUGUGGAAUUUAAGAAACAAAACAAAGGGGAAAAAAGAGACAAACCCAAAAAUGGACUUAACACUAGAGAACAAACUGAUGGUUACCAGAGGGGAGGUCCGGUGAGGGGAUGGGUGAAACAGGUGAACAGGAUUAGGGACACAUUUGUCAUGAUGGGAGUAAUGGGUAGAACUGCUAGAUCACUAUAUUAUGCACCUGAAAGUAAUAUAACACUGUAUGUUAACUAUACUGGAAAUGAAAUGAAAUGAAAUGAAAUGAAAUGAAAUGAAAUGAAAUGAAAUGAAUUGAAAUGAAAUGAAAUGAAUUGA